CCAUCCAUCCACUUUUAUAGAUCUUAAAGCACUAUAUCUUCUAUCAUCCAUCCAUUUGCACAGAUCUCACAGUAUUCUAUCUACUGUUAUUCAUCUAUCCGUGCAAAUCUCAAAGCUCUCGAUCCAUCUGCACAGAUCUUAAAGUACUUUGAUCUCUAUCAUUCAUCUAUUUGCAUGAAUUUUAAAGUAUUCUGUCCAUUAUUAUCCAUCCAAUUGGCAUAAAUUUCAAAGCACUACUUUCCUUCUGUUAUCUUUUCUAUUGACAAAAGC
rnacentral:lncRNA from 1 species